rnacentral:rRNA from 1 species
AGCGAACGCUAGCGGCGAGCUUAACACAUGCAAGUCGAGCGGAGGGUUUCGGCCCUCAGCGGCGGACGGGUGAGUAACGCGUAGGUUACGUGCCCUUUGGUGGGGAGUAACUUAGGGAAACCUGAGCUAAUACCGCACAUGCCCUUCGGGUGAAAGUCUUCGGACGCCAGAGGAUCGGCCUGCGGCCCAUUAUUUAAUCCUUGUUGGUGGGGUAACGGCCUACCAAGGGUACGAUGGGUAGCUGGUCUGAGAGGAUGAUCAGCCACACUGGGACUGAGACACGGCCCAGACUCCUACGGGAGGCAGCAGUGGGGAAUAUUGGACAAUGGGGGAAACCCUGAUCCAGCUACGCCGCGUGGGUGAUGAAGGCC